GAGUCCCAGCUCAUUCCACUAAGCCCUCCUGUGUCCGCAGUCUCCGCGCGCGUGCGUGCGUGCGUGCGUGCGUGUGUGUGUGUCUGUGUGUGAUGGGGAGGGGUGGUCAUUGCUGCAGGUGGGAGGGGGCUGCCACAAGCGAGUCACCAUCCAGAGGCCUUCCCUGCACCCCUGCUCUUCAGGGUGGGUGAGGAUGCUGGGAGGUGCCCAGGGGAGAGGCAGGGAGUAGGAGGGGCUCCAAAGGCAGUCAGCAACUCCGUCUCAGAGCCCACCCCAAAGCCCCAUCCGGUCCCCUGGGCAACCCCUUUGCAGGUCUGGAAACUUGAGCUCCUCAGGGAAGCCCCACCCUAGCCAGGCCCUGUGGGGAUGCCCUCUCACAGAGCCCUGGGUGCAGUCUCUCUCUUCCACUGUUGGUCAGCUCAGGGGGCACCUAGUAGGUGCCAAACAUACAAGAGACAUGGACUAAAUGCUGGCUGAAUGAAGUUAGCCAUGACACGACAGGAAGAGGACAGGGCCAGGGAGGAGCCUGCAGGCCCUGCCAUUACUGGGCAGGAGGGCCACCCGACUCCCGCUCCGAGGAGACCCUGGUCAGGGGGCUGUGCUGGGGAGCAGAGCUCUGCAGGCACUUGAGGGGGUUUGGCUCAUGCUGGUUUGGCCAAGUCUCAGAGCUCUCCAGGGAGGUCCUGUCCUUGGUCUUUGGCAGGUGUGGUCUGGUUAAGGUGGCACAGCACACACUGGCCUGGACACUGGCCAUGUGAUAGAGCAAGACCACCAUGCCUGUGGGAGCAGGCAGCCUCAGGCAGGAGGUCACAUGGCCCAGCUGUGCAAAUACUCUGUAAAAUGUGGAUCCCUCCAGGUGGGCCCCAGGUCAUAUCCCUCCCCACUCCCACACCCCAGCAGACUUCCUGUGCCCAGGGCUCUGUUACCACUGAUGCACUGAUGCACCCCACGCAUUGUCUCCAGCCCGGGGCGUUCCUCUGAGCCCCAGCAGCCAACUCCACAUGUCCUGCUACCUGUGUCCAAAUCCAAGUGCAUGACUAUUCUCCCACCCCUGAUUGCCUGCCAGUGAAAUGUGCCUCCCUCCACUGUCCCUUUAUCCUCACUUCUCCUGCCCCCACCCCGCCUUAGUCUAAGUUAGCUGGCACCACCUUUGGCCUGGCCUGGCCUGCCUGGGGGAGGGGUCUGUCUCCCCACCCCCUGGCAGUAGAUCUGGCCAUGUGACUUGCCUUGCCCAGUGAAAUGUGAACAGAACUGACCCAAGUGACUCCAGCCAGAAGACUCAGGAGCCAGCACCUGGUUGGCGGUUCUCUGAUAGUGGAAGUGGGUGACACAGUGAAGCCUCGCCAACAAAUAACCUGCGACGCCCUGUAGCUCAAGUAAGAGAUGCAGCAGGAGGGGCGGUCAGAGAGCCUCGAAGCAGAAGGACUCAGAUGUGCCGUUACUGGCUUUGAAGAUGAAGGGCCCUCAGUCGUUCAGCCGCAAGGAACUGAAUUCUGCCAGCAGCCUGAAUGAGCUCAGAAGUGGGUUCCUCCCUACUUGACCUGGAGACGCCUUGACUUCGGCCGUGAGACCUGAAGAAGAAGACCAGUCACUUUGUACUCGAUUGUGACCCACAGAAACUGAGAUAAUAAACGUGUGUUGUUUUAAGCUG